rnacentral:rRNA from 1 species
UACGAACCGUCCAAACGUUAUUCGGAAUCACUGGGCUUACAGAGUUCGUAGGCGGCGGAGAAAGUAGGGUGUGAAAGCCCUCGGCCUAACCGAGGAAUAGCGCCCUAAACUACUUCGCUUGAGGAGGCUAGAGGUGAGCAGAACAGAUGGUGGAGCGGUGAAAUGCGUUGAUAUCAUCUGGAAUACCGGAGGCGAAGGCGGCUAACUGGGACAUUUCUGACGCUGAGGAACGAAAGCUAGGGUAGCGAACGGG